GGAAGCGGUUGUAGCUGCCCAGUGCAGUCAAGGCACCCAGUCCAAUGGCAUAGGAGAAGAAAAUCUGAGUGCCGGCAUCAAUCCACACCUAUCACAAGGAGAAAUAUGUAGUAAACAAUUCCAUCUAAAGCUCCAGGUAAAGUGACUCCGUGGGCAAGAAGAACGACCAGAACCAGGCACCUUUGAAGAGGGGAGCGAUGUUCCAUGCAGAGACCCCUCCUUGCUUCAUGAACUGUCCCAAUGCAAUCUCCAGGAAGAAGACUGGGAUGCCCCCAAUGAACACAAUCAGCAAGGAGUGGGCAUCCAACAAAGGUCCUUGGCACUUAAUUAAACCCCUGGCAUCCAAAACAUCCCAUAGUAAAAUUAUUUGUGUUUAAAUGUGCUCCUGAAGCUCACCUCCUCCGUUUUUGUAGCAGAGAUAAGGGAACCGCCACACGUUGCCCAAGCCAACGGCAAAACCCACGCAGGACAUGAUAAAGUCCAUCUGUCUGGUCCAGGUUUCUCUCUCCACCGCUGGUACUGC